GCCUGUUGAUAGACGUCUUACCAGACAAGGUUAGAUCUAGCUAUUCCUGUCUAAUACUGUCUGGUAAUGCCGUUCAUUACGUGGCA
ensembl:miRNA dre-mir-429 microRNA 429